CAAUCUGAGAGUUUGAUCCUGGCUCAGAACGAACGCUGGCGGCAGGCCUAACACAUGCAAGUCGAACGCUGUAGCAAUACAGAGUGGCAGACGGGUGAGUAACACG
rnacentral:rRNA from 1 species